AUGACCAGGAACUGGGCCCACUGCCACCCACACAAAGUCAUGGUUCCAUCAGCAAGAGAGAAGGGGGAAAUUAGGUUAAAGGCAUAUGGACUCAACAUGUCACCGGAAGGAAAACACCAGCUGGUCUUACAGCUCUUGAACGGGCAGCUCACCCAGAGACACCACGCUGCAGGGCUUCUCUGCACCAACGUUCUUUCAGGGCCUGUGGAGAAAAUAUGGACGUUAGCAGUCAGAAAACAUGCUCGGGACACAGCAUUCGUGGCCGAGCUUCCCACAGCAGUGUGUAUGAACACCGCAGCUCCUCAUGGAACAAUUCUGUCCUCACCAAGCAACAUGAGACAACAAGGAAACACUUUCUGCCCCAGAAAUGUCCUUCCAUCACUUCCAGUUAAAAAUCACAUUUCUCCAAGAUUCUACCCACUCCCAUACACCUCAGCCUGGCUAAGGAAAUGAUUGGAAACUUAAAUCUGAGAGAAAAAGCUGACAUUUUACGAUAACGGGGAAAAGUUAUCCUCAAAUACUGCCUGUGGUAUUAAAAAUGGAAUUCAGAUAAGCUUCUUUGGGCCGCUCUGAUAGACUGGUUUCAUUUUGCUGGAAGAAAUCCUGGGAAUACACCCUCACUCUCAUCUGCAGGGAACAGGGGAGGUGUGUGUGCCAGAAGUUGCCCUCAGAGGAAGGAUUGACUUGAGGCCUCAGUAGCAAUCUCCAUGGCAACCAGAAAUCUCCAACCAGUGAUUCUCAAACUUUCCUGUGCAUAGAAGUCACCUAGAGCUAAUUUGCUAAAAGGCAGCUUCUGAUUCAGCAGGUCUGGAGUGGGGUGGAGGCUGGCGGUCCUCAGACCCCACAGGGAGCAGUGAGGACCUUCUCCUUCUCUCCAUAAAGCUUGGGGCCAGGCUAGUCUUUGUCCAGCAAAGGGGUGGAGGAACAGAGCUUGACUGAAGCUUAUGGGAUUUUUUUUUAACGCAAGUAGGUGAUUUAUGAUAGGAGAUUCUUGGUAACUUUUUAAAAUCUCUGUCAUUACAAUAUCAUUUGUAUAACAAAUAGGAAUUAAAAAAUGUUUCAAUAUUUUAAACAACUUUCAAAAUAAUUGAUAAUCCUAAGGUACUCUUUCCUUUUCCUUUCUAGA
rnacentral:lncRNA from 1 species